rnacentral:tRNA from 1 species
GGGGUUGUGGCUCAGUGAUAGAGCACUCACCUAGCAUGUGUGAGGCACUGGGUUUGAUCCUCAGGACCACA